rnacentral:rRNA from 1 species
GAUGAACGCUGGCGGCGUGCCUAAUACAUGCAAGUCGAGCGAACAGACGAGGAUCUUGCUCCUCUGACGUUAGCGGCGGACGGGUGAGUAACACGUGGAUAACCUACCUAUAAGACUGGGAUAACUUCGGGAAACCGGAUCUAAUACCGGAUAAUAUAUUGAACCGCAUGGUUCAAUAGUGAAAGACGGUUUUGCUGUCACUUAUAGAUGGAUCCGCGCCGCAUUAGCUAGUUGGUAAGGUAACGGCUUACCAAGGCGACGAUGCGUAGCCGACCUGAGAGGGUGAUCGGCCACACUGGAACUGAGACACGGUCCAGACUCCUACGGGAGGCAGCAGUAGGGAAUCUUCCGCAAUGGGCGAAAGCCUGACGGAGCAACGCCGCGUGAGUGAUGAAGGUCUUCGGAUCGUAAAACUCUGUUAUUAGGGAAGAACAAAUGUGUAAGUAACUAUGCACGUCUUGACGGUACCUAAUCAGAAAGCCACGGCUAACUACGUG